UUCUUUUUAAAAUCUCUAACAUGAUAGGGUAUUUAUAAUACUCCUAUCCUACUCCUACUCAACUAAUAAAAUAAAUAACCAAAUCCUAAUAUACUAAUGAAAUCCUUGACCCAAUUGUACUAGGGUAAGGUUACAAAAUUAUAAUCCAAAUAGAAUGAUGAAACACAUAACCUAAUUGCACUAGGUUAAUGUAUUAUGGCAAAAAUCCAGCUUUGUGUCUGUAAGUCCCAAAGUCUUCAGAAAUGCUGUUUUAGCCCGGGACAGAUUUUCCAUGCAGCAGAUUUAGUCCUUUAUGCGUCCAGCUCCUUUCCAUCUCGUUUGUGAGCUUUCUUUUGCGUCAAGUAAGCC
rnacentral:lncRNA from 1 species